CUACGGGGGGCUCCAGUGAGGAAUAUUGGUCAAUGGGCGCAAGCCUGAACCAGCCAUGCCGCGUGAAGGAUGACAGCGCUAUGCGUUGUAAACUUCUUUUGUACAGGAAGAAACACUUCUACGUGUAGAAGCUUGACGGUACUGUACGAAUAAGCAUCGGCUAACUCCGUGCCAGCAGCCGCGGUAAUACGGAGGAUGCAAGCGUUAUCCGGAUUUAUUGGGUUUAAAGGGUACGUAGGCGGAAAAUUAAGUCAGUAGUGAAAUCCCGCAGCUUAACUGUGGAACUGUUAUUGAUACUGGUUUUCUUGAAUUUAGUUGAGGUAGGCGGAAUGUGUAAUGUAGCGGUGAAAUGCUUAGAUAUUACACAGAACACCGAUUGCGAAGGCAGCUUACUAAGCUAUGAUUGACGCUGAGGUACGAAAGCGUGGGGAGCGAACAGGAUUAGAUACCCCGGUAGUC
rnacentral:rRNA from 1 species